CUGAUUUCUUACAGUCCGUCAAGCUCAAAUACGUAAAGUUAGGUUAUGGUUACUCAUGUAACCCUGCCACCAUACUCAUGUUUCUCAUAAUUUUCCCUUUGUCCAUAGAGCUACGCUCGUUCAAAUCACUGGUCUUCAACUAGGCCUUGUUUACGAGUUAUGGACAACUCGGUCCCUUCAACUCCAUGAAAUCGACGCCGCCACCAGUCUAGCUGGUUCUGCUCUAUUAAUCGUCCUUCUUGCAGUCUACUGGUCUAAGCGGUCCAGACCUAUCUAUCUGGUGGAUUUUGCGUGUUACAAACCGGAAGACGGACGGAAGAUGUCGGUGGAGUCUUUCAUGAAAAUGACGGAAGAUAGCGGCUUGUUUGACGAAGAAACUGUUCAAUUCCAGAGACGGAUAUCGAUGCGGUCGGGUCUAGGUGACGAAACUUAUAUACCAAGAGGAAUAACUUCUAGACCACCUAAUUUGUGUAUGGAGGAAGCCCGGAUGGAGACGGAGUCGGUCAUGUUCGGAGCAAUGGACUCGCUUUUCAGCAAAACUGGAGUUAAAGCAGAAGAAAUUGGCAUCCUCAUUGUGAACUGCAGCUUGUUUAACCCAACUCCAUCUCUUUCCUCAAUGAUAGUGAAUCACUACAGGCUUAGAACAGAUAUCAAGAGUUAUAAUCUUGGUGGAAUGGGUUGCAGCGCAGGGCUUAUCUCUAUAGACCUCGCUAACGACCUCCUGAAAGCAAAUCCCAACACUUAUGCAGUUGUGGUGAGUACAGAAAACAUAACUCUGAAUUGGUAUUUUGGCAAGGACAGGUCAAUGCUGCUUCCCAACUGCAUAUUUCGCAUGGGUGGAGCUGCUGUUCUUCUCUCGAACAAGGGCCGAGACAGGGGCCGGUCCAAGUACCAGCUGGUCCACACCGUUCGAACCCACAAAGGCGCUGAUGACCAAAACUACCAAUGCGUUUACCAGAGAGAAGAUGACAAAGGAACUGUUGGGGUCUCAUUAGCCCGAGAAUUAAUGGCGGUAGCUGGAGAUGCGUUGAAAACAAACAUCACUACACUAGGUCCUCUGGUAUUGCCUUUAAGCGAGCAAUUUAUGUUUUUCGUAACCCUUGUUAGAAGAAAGCUCUUGAAAGCGAAUGUGAAGCCUUAUAUACCGGAUUUCAAACUUGCUUUCGAACAUUUCUGUAUA
rnacentral:misc_RNA from 1 species